rnacentral:rRNA from 1 species
GGGCCCGCACAAGCGGUGGAGCAUGUGGUUUAAUUCGAUGAUACGCGAGGAACCUUACCAGGGCUUAAAUGUUAGGUGACAGAUCUAGAAAUAGAUUUUUCUUCGGACACUUAACAAGGUGCUGCAUGGUUGUCGUCAGCUCGUGCCGUGAGGUGUCAGGUUAAGUCCUAUAACGAGCGCAACCCCUGUUGUUAGUUGCCAGCGAGUAAUGUCGGGAACUCUAGCAAGACUGCCAGUGCAAACUGUGAGGAAGGUGGGGAUGACGUCAAAUCAUCACGGCCCUUACGUCCUGGCUACACACGUGCUACAUUGGGCGAGACAAUGAGAUGCAAAUCUGUGAAGACUAGCU